rnacentral:tRNA from 1 species
GCGGGAUUGGUCUAGCCUGGAUAGGAUAUCAGCUUCCCAAGCUGAGGGUCUCGGGUUCAAAUCCCGGAUCUCGCA